UUACAAAUAGUGUUUAUAUUAUAGCAUAGAACAUUAUAACAAAUCUCAAACCGAACACAUCCCACAAGGAACUUACAUGAAGAAUGAGUGUCGAACCUAUUCACGGUAAGGUUUUCGUUAGGGUUUGUAGCUUCAUUCAUGAAGUUGAGUUUGAAAUACUUGAAGUAUAAAAACAUAGAGAUUUUGUUCAAAGAGUUCUAAAAGGGAUUUCAGAAAGAAGGGAUUUCAAUAAUAUUUCUAAGAGAUUUAGAAGAAAGAAGAUUAAGUGAGAGACUCAAUAAUAGGUGAAUGUAAUUAUUUCUAUAUGUUUCAUUUGUUCUUUAGUAAAUUAGGUUUUGAGAUUGUAAUUUGUAAAUAACAAGAUUUGAUAUAAUGAAAGUUUUUACAUU